rnacentral:rRNA from 1 species
AUUGAACGCUGGCGGCAGGCCUAACACAUGCAAGUAGAACGAGUGGCGGACGGGUGAGUAAUGUCUGGGACACUCCCCGAUGGAGGGGGAUAACUACGGGAAACGGUAGCUAAUACCGCAUACCCUCAGAUGUGCCCAGAUGGGCUUAGCUUGUUGGUGGGGUAACGGCUCACAAAGGCGACGAUCCCUAGCGGGUCUGAGAGGAUGACCAGCCAAACUGGAACGGAGACACGGUCCAGACCCCUACGGGAGGCAGCAUUGGGGAAGAUUGCAAAAUGGGCGAAAGCCUGAUGCAGCCAUGCCGCGUGGAUGAAGAAGGCCUUCGGGUGGUAAAGUACUUUCAGCGGGGAGGCGUUACCCACAGAAGAAGCACCGGCUAACUCCGUGCCAGCAGCCGCGGUAAUUC